rnacentral:lncRNA from 1 species
ACAUAGCUGUUGAUCUACUCUAUAGUAUCAUGGUGUUGUGUUUUCUUAUGCCUGCUCAAGUAACCAGCCCGCGCAAAGGACUUGGAGGUAAAGGCACAACGGUAUGGUCGGUCACCUGCAUGAAUGCUCAGGUGUUGCUUCAUGGCACUCUUCAGCGAGAAUUUCUGAAUGCACGAAGGGCAAUGAAAUGGCUUCUUGCCUGUGUGGGUGUGCAGGUGUUCCUUCAUGUUGGACUUGCACGAGAAGCUCCGAGGGCAUGAAGGGCAUAGAAAUGGCUUCUCAUCUGUGUGGGUUCGCAAGUGGUUUUCCACGCUGGACUUAUGCAAGAAGCUUUGAGGGCAUGAAGGGCAUCGAAAUG